GAGGAAAAGAAACCAACAGGAUUGCCCCAGUAACGGGCGAGUGAAGCGGCAACAGCUCAAAUUUGAAAUCUGGUCCCCAGGGCCCGAGUUUGUAAUUUGUAGAGGAUGCUUUUGGCGAGGUGCCUUCCGAGUUCCCUGGAACGGGACGCCAUAGAGGGUGAGAGCCCCGUCUGGUUGGAUACCAAGCCUCUGUAAAGCUCCUUCGACGAGUCGAGUAGUUUGGGAAUGCUGCUCUAAAUGGGAGGUAUAUGUCUUCUAAAGCUAAAUACCGGCCAGAGACCGAUAGCGCACAAGUAGAGUGAUCGAAAGAUGAAAAGCACUUUGAAAAGAGGGUUAAAUAGUACGUGAAAUUGUUGAAAGGGAAGCGUUUGUGACCAGACUUGGGCCCGGUUAAUCAUCCAGCGUUCUCGCUGGUGCACUUUGCCGGCCCAGGCCAGCAUCAGUUCGCGCCGGGGGAUAAAGGCUUCGGGAAUGUGGCUCCUCCGGGAGUGUUAUAGCCCGCUGCGUAAUACCCUGGUGCGGACUGAGGUUCGCGCUCCGCAAGGAUGCUGGCGUAAUGGUCAUCAGCGACCCGUCUUGAAACACGGACCAAGGAGUCGUCUUCGUAUGCGAGUGUUCGGGUGUCAAACCCCUACGCGUAAUGAAAGUGAACGUAGGUGAGAGCUUCGGCGCAUCAUCGACCGAUCCUGAUGUUCUCGGAUGGAUUUGAGUAAGAGCAUACGGGGCCGGACCCGAAAGAAGGUGAACUAUGCCUGUAUAGGGUGAAGCCAGAGGAAACUCUGGUGGAGGCUCGCAGCGGUUCUGACGUGC
rnacentral:rRNA from 1 species